rnacentral:rRNA from 1 species
UACGUAGGGUGCAAGCGUUGUCCGGAAUUAUUGGGCGUAAAGAGCUCGUAGGCGGUCUGUCGCGUCGGCUGUGAAAACCCGGGGCUCAACCCCGGGCCUGCAGUCGAUACGGGCAGACUAGAGUGUGGUAGGGGAGACUGGAGUUCCUGGUGUAGCGGUGAAAUGCGCAGAUAUCAGGAGGAACACCGGUGGCGAAGGCGGGUCUCUGGGCCAUAACUGACGCUGAGGAGCGAAAGCGUGGGGAGCGAACAGG